AGAACGAACGCUGGCGGCAUGCCUAAUACAUGCAAGUCGAACGAACACUUCGGUGUUAGUGGCGCACGGGUGCGUAACGCGUGGGAAUCUGCCCUUGGGUUCGGAAUAACAGUUGGAAACGACUGCUAAUACCGGAUGAUAUCGAAAGAUCAAAGAUUUAUCGCCCAGGGAUGAGCCCGCGUAGGAUUAGCUAGUUGGUGAGGUAAAGGCUCACCAAGGCGACGAUCCUUAGCUGGUCUGAGAGGAUGAUCAGCCACACUGGGACUGAGACACGGCCCAGACUCCGUACGGGAGGCAGCAG
rnacentral:rRNA from 1 species